rnacentral:rRNA from 1 species
UACAGGGGGUGCAAACGUUGCUCGGAAUUAUUGGGCGUAAAGCGCGCGUAGGCGGUUAUCUAAGUCGGAUGUGAAAGCCCUCGGCUUAACUGAGGAAGUGCACCCGAAACUGGAUAGCUAGAGUACGAAAGAGGGUCGCGGAAUUCCCGGUGUAGAGGUGAAAUUCGUAGAUAUCAGGAGGAACACCAAUGGCGAAGGCAGCUCGCUGGGACGGUACUGACGCUGAGGCGCGAAAGCGUGGGGAGCAAACAGG